rnacentral:rRNA from 1 species
AUUGAACGCUGGCGGCAUGCCUUACACAUGCAAGUCGAACGGCAGCACGGGAGCAAUCCUGGUGGCGAGUGGCGAACGGGUGAGUAAUAUAUCGGAACGUGCCCAGUCGUGGGGGAUAACGCAGCGAAAGCUGUGCUAAUACCGCAUACGAUCUCUGGAUGAAAGCGGGGGACUCAGCAAUGGGCCUCGCGCGAUUGGAGCGGCCGAUAUCAGAUUAGCUAGUUGGUGGGGUAAAAGCCCACCAAGGCGACGAUCUGUAGCUGGUCUGAGAGGACGACCAGCCACACUGGGACUGAGACACGGCCCAGACUCCUACGGGAGGCAGCAGUGGGGAAUUUUGGACAAUGGGCGCAAGCCUGAUCCAGCAAUGCCGCGUGCA